rnacentral:rRNA from 1 species
CGUGUAGGCGGCUGGAUAAGUCAGAUGUGAAAUCCCUGGGCUUAACCCAGGAAGUGCAUUUGAAACUGUUCAGCUUGAGUAAGGGAGAGGAAAGUGGAAUUCCUGGUGUAGAGGUGAAAUUCGUAGAUAUCAGGAGGAACACCGGUGGCGAAGGCGACUUUCUGGCCCUAUACUGACGCUGAGACGCGAGAGCGUGGGUAGCAAACA